rnacentral:tRNA from 1 species
UGGCAUAGUGGUUAAAUGCUAUGGCUGCUAACCAAGAGGCUGGCAGUUCAAAUCUGCC